GCCCAGCCGUAAACUUUUAUUUACAUCUAAAUUGCCGGGGAACUACGAGCCAAGCUUAAAACCCAAAGGACUUGACGGUACCCCAUAUCCCCCUAGAGGAGCCUGUCCUGUAAUCGACAAUCCACGUUUAACCUCACCAUUUUUAGUUUAUCAGCCUGUAUACCUCCGUCGUCAGCUUACCACGUGAGCGCCUAUUAGUGAGCCCAAUGCUAUUUCACCAACACGUCAGGUCAAGGUGCAGCAAAUGAAAUGGGAAGAGAUGGGCUACACUUUCUAUUUUAGAAGAAACGAAAAACUAUUUAUGAAAUCUAGUUAGAAGGCGGAUUUAGUAGUAAAAAGGAAUUAGCAUGUCCAUUUUAACCCGGCACUGGGGUGUGU
rnacentral:rRNA from 1 species